AUUGAACGCUGGCGGCAUGCUUUACACAUGCAAGUCGAACGGCAGCGCGGGGCAACCUGGCGGCGAGUGGCGAACGGGUGCGUAAUACAUCGGAACGUACCCAGAAGUGGGGGAUAACGUAGCGGAAGUUACGCUAAUACCGCAUACGUUCUACGGAAGAAAGUGGGGGACCUUCGGGCCUCAUGCUUUUGGAGCGGCCGAUGUCUGAUUAGCUAGUUGGUGAGGUAAAGGCUCACCAAGGCGACGAUCAGUAGCUGGUCUGAGAGGACGACCAGCCACACUGGGACUGAGACACGGCCCAGACUCCUACGGGAGGCAGCAGUGGGGAAUUUUGGACAAUGGGCGCAAGCCUGAUCCAGCAAUGCCGCGUGAGUGAAGAAGGCCUUCGGGUUGUAAAGCUCUUUUGUCAGGGAAGAAACGGCUGAGGAUAAUACCUUCGGCUAAUGACGGUACCUGAAGAAUAAGCACCGGCUAACUACGUG
rnacentral:rRNA from 1 species